GUAGGAGAUUUGAGGGAAGCUGUUCCUAGUACGAGAGGACCGGAAUGGACGUGCCCCUAGUGUACCUGUUGUCGCGCCAGCGGCAUCGCAGGGUAGCUAUGCACGGAAGGGAUAAACGCUGAAAGCAUAUAAGCGUGAAGCCCAUCCCAAGAUGAGAUCUCCCAGACUUAGUCUCUGAAGGCUCCUUGUAGACCACGAGGUUGAUAGGCUGCAGGUGUAAGCACAGCGAUGUGUUCAGCCGAGCAGUACUAAUAAGCCGUGAGGCUUAAUCAU
rnacentral:rRNA from 1 species